rnacentral:rRNA from 1 species
UGAGGAACAUGACCUUCGGCGGGGGAUAGCCGGCCCAACGGCCGGGUAAUACCGCGUACGACCUUUCGGGGACAUCCUCGGAUGGUGAAAGCAGCAAUGCGCCGAUGGAGUGCCUCGCGGCCUAUCAGCUAGUUGGUGAGGUAACGGCUCACCAAGGCGACGACGGGUAGCUGGUCUGAGAGGAUGGCCAGCCACAGUUGGGACUGAGACACGGCCCAGACCUCCGUACGGGGAGCCAG